rnacentral:antisense_RNA from 1 species
AUUGCAUAAUGCAGUAGCCACUGGAUUUGCAGCAGAAACACUCUGCUACAGAACAAGUGUCUUGGUUCACAGCAAAGAGGACAAAGAAAACAGCAAGUUUUAGGGGGUUGAAUCCUGGAUUCCCCUGGCAAACACCAUUCUACUUUCUGUCUCUACGAAUUUGACUACUCGAAGUACCUCAUGUGAAAUGUUGGUGCCAAAUGAACUUUUCUGGUUCUUCUGAAUAUGCCACUGUUGCUGGAGAAAUGUCACUGCUAGAGAAUAGAAGACUAUUAUUCCAAAGGGUAUUUGAGACUGACUGAAUCAGGUCUGGAACAUUAUUGAAAUGAGACCCACAAAGGAAGAGAUACUGAGUAAUUCAGCAUUUCCAGUGACACCUUUCUGGCUGUGCUUCAAAGGGAAGAUGACGCUAGAGCUGGCAGCAUGACCAGCACUGUGUAAAUCACCCAGACAGACAACAACACAACAUCCAUGAAUAGAUGGCAGAGUUAGCAAGAAAAAAUAGCUUGGAGGAUGGAAAAACCCGAAAGGAUACUCCAGCUAAGAAAGUAUGGACGCUUCUCCUAGUUUAGAAUGCACUUCAGAUGGAUUCCAAGCUAGAACAAGGUCUAUCUGGAGGUGAAGUCAUGUGACGUGAACUAAUG